rnacentral:rRNA from 1 species
GUGUCAGCCGCCGCGGUAAUACAGAGGGUGCAAGCGUUGUUCGGAAUUACUGGGCGUAAAGCGCGUGUAGGCGGCUUGCCAAGUCUUGUGUGAAAGCCCUGGGCUCAACCCAGGAAGUGCGCAAGAUACUGGUGAGCUGGAGUGACGGAGAGGAUGGCGGAAUUCCCGGUGUAGAGGUGAAAUUCGUAGAUAUCGGGAGGAACACCUGUGGCGAAGGCGGCCAUCUGGACGUUGACUGACGCUGAGACGCGAAAGCAUGGGGAGCAAACAGGAUUAGAUACCCUGGUAGUCC